GAUGAACGCUGGCGGCGUGCCUAAUACAUGCGAGUCGAGCGAACAGACGAGGAGCUUGCUCCUCUGACGUUAGCGGCGGACGGGUGAGUAACACGUGGAUAACCUACCUAUAAGACUGGGAUAACUUCGGGAAACCGGAGCUAGUACCGGAUAAUAUAUUGAACCGCAUGGUUCAAUAGUGAAAGACGGUUUUGCUGUCACUUAUAGAUGGAUCCGCGCCGCAUUAGCUAGUUGGUAAGGUAACGGCUUACCAAGGCAACGAUGCGUAGCCGACCUGAGAGGGUGAUCGGCCACACUGGAACUGAGACACGGUCCAGACUCCUACGGGAGGCAGCAGUAGGGAAUCUUCCGCAAUGGGCGAAAGCCUGACGGAGCAACGCCGCGUGAGUGAUGAAGGUCUUCGGAUCGUAAAACUCUGUUAUUAGGGAAGAACAAAUGUGUAAGUAACUAUGCACGUCUUGACGGUACCUAAUCAGAAAGCCACGGCUAACUACGUG
rnacentral:rRNA from 1 species